rnacentral:lncRNA from 1 species
CAAAGCUUCAUGUCCAGACCAGGAUCUCCCCAACACUCCUGGUUUCAUCAGCUGUCCAGGUGCCUGGUGUCAGAUGAUCACGCAGGUGAAAAAGCCGGAUGUGGAGGUCCUGGGCUGGAGUGGUUACACAUGGUGUGCGGUUGUGAGGUCGGUUGGACGUACUGCCAGAUUCUCUAAAACUAUGUGAUAAAGAAAGGAACAUUAAUUUCUUUGGCAACAGCUCUGGUGGACAUUUCUGCAGUCAGCAUGCCAAUUGCACGGUCCCUCAAAACUUGAGACAUCUGUGUCAUUGUGUUUGAGUGGCCUUUUAUUGUUCCCAGCACAAGGUGCCCCUGUGUAAUGAUCAUGCUGUUUAAUCAGCUUCUUGAUAUGCCACACCUGUCAGGUGGAUGAAUUAUCUUGGCAAAGGAGAAAUUAUCACUAACAGGGAAGUAAACAAAUUUGUGCACAAAAUUUGAGAGAAAUAAGCUUUUUAUGCGUAUAGAACAUUUCAGGGACCUUUUAUUUCAGCUCAUGAAAUAUGAGACCAACACUUUACAUGUUGCGUUUAUAUUUUUAUUCAGUAUAUUUUAACACGGAACAUAUUUCAAUAUUUCAGGUCAAAGCGCCGUUUUAAACAUCUAUCACCUAUACUCAAAUGGGAGAACUUACAUUUUCUGUUACAGAAGUAGAAUCUUAAUUUGAUCAGCCUGUUGCAGGAUAACUUUUCCCUUACGAAAAAUGUUUCAACCCCUACAAAAAUUUCCAUUAAUUAUAAUCCACAUGCGCUGAUGCUGCAGUAUUGUUUUCUUGCUGUAGAAAACUGUCUCCAACUAAGAUCCUACAUCUGUACAUCCAUGUGAAUUACGCUUCAUUACACUGUCAUUGAUUUAACUGUAUGUAUUUAGCAUGUGGAAUACAGAAAAACACGGACACACAGUUUAUUCUCAGCCUCCAGUAUUUAUGCUGCAGUAGUUUAUGUGUCGGGGGGCUAGGGUCAGUCUGUUAUAUUUGGAGUAUUUCUCCUGUCUUAUCUGGUGUCCUGUGUGAAUUUAAGUAUGCUCUCUAUAAUUCUUUCUUUCUUUCUCUCUCUCUCUCUGAGGACCUGAGCCCUAGGACCAUGCCUCAGGACUACCUGGCCGGAAGACUCCUUGCUGUCCCCAGUCCACCUGGCCGUGCUGCUGCUCCAGAUUCAACUGUUCUGCCUGCAGCUAUGGAACCCUGACCUGUACACCGGACGUGCUACCUGUCCCAGACCUGCUGUUUUCAACUCUCUAGAGACAGCAGGAGCGGUAGAGAUACUCUCAAUGAUUGGCUAUGAAAAGCCAACUGACAUUUACUCCUGAGGUGUUGACCUGUUGCACCCUCGACAACCACUGUGAUUAUUAUUAUUUGACCCUGCUGGUCAUUUAUGAACAUUUGAACAUCUUGGCCAUGUUCUGUUAUAAUCUCCAGCCGGCACAGCCAGAAGAGGACUGGCCACCCCUCAUAGCCUGGUUCCUCUCUAGGUUUCUUCCUAGGUUCUGGCAUUUCUAGGGAGUUUUUCCUAGCCUACGUGCUUCUACACCUGCAUUGCUUGCUGUUUGGGGUUUUAGGCUGGGUUUCUGUACUGCACUUUGAGAUAUCAGCUGAUUUAAAAAGGGCUUUAUAAAUACUUUUGAUUUGAUUUGAUAUUUCCAAAUGUAUUAUCGAUUUUCAUGGGGAGAAAAUCUUUAUUUAUUUUUUGAAUUACAGUACCCUGUGUGAAUCUGUGUGAAUUACAGUACCCUGUGUGAAUUACAGUACCCUGUGUGAAUCUGUGUGAAUUACAGUAACCUGUGUUUAUCUGUGUGAAUUGCAGUACCCUGUGUGAAUCUGUGUGAAUUACACUACCCUGUGUGAAUCUGUGUGAAUUACAGUACCCUGUGUUUAUCUGUGUGAAUUGCAGUACCCUGUGUGAAUCUGUGUGAAUUACAGUACCCUG